GACGAACGCUGGCGGCGUGCUUAACACAUGCAAGUCGAACGGAAAGGCCCUGCUUUUGUGGGGUGCACGAGUGGCGAACGGGUGAGUAACACGCGAGUAACCUGCCCUUGACUUUGGGAUAACUUCAGGAAACUGGGGCUAAUACCGGAUAGGAGCUCCUGCUGCAUGGUGGGGGUUGGAAAGUUUCGGCGGUUGGGGAUGGACUGGCGGCUUACCAGCUUGUUGGUGGGGUAGUGGCUUACCAAGGGUUUGACGGGUAGCCGGCCUGAGAGGGGGACCGGCCACAAUGGGACUGAGAGACGGACCAGACUCCUACGGGAGGCAGCAGGGGGGAAUAUUGCGCAGUGGGCGGAAGCCUGAGGCAGCAACGCCGCGUGCGGGAUGACGGCCUUCGGGGUGUAAACCGCUGUCGCCGGUGACGAAGCGUGAGUGACGGUAAUGGGUAAAGAAGCACCGGCUAACUACGUG
rnacentral:rRNA from 1 species